GCUGUAGCCAAGUGGUGGGUCAUCUGCUCUGCAUGCAGAAGGCCCCAGGUUCAGUCCCUGGCAUCUCCA